UCCCUGGUGGCUUAGAGGUUAAAGCAUUCGCUUGGAAUGCGGGAGACCUGGGUUCAAUCCCUGGGUUGGGAA
rnacentral:tRNA from 1 species